AGAAGAGGCAGUAGCCCUAAGCUUGCCCAACUGGGCAGAGGAUCCUCCUCCAGUCACCACUGGAAGGGCAGGACUGAAUCUGUGAAGCAUUUUGCAAAGCAUUGAAUGAGCACGGAGGGAAUGUCUGAGAGUCCCUGACAAGGGAGAAGAUGGCAGCUGCUGGUGCUGUGAUCACUUCACCUCCUUUUGCUGAUGUACUUAUUCAGUACUACAAUUUGGUUCAACUAAUUAAAUCCUCCUACAAACCCCCCAAAAACCAGCUGAUGAACACCCAUGUUUAAAGGGAUGCUUAAAUAGGGUUCAUCUACCAGUCUUUUAAGACUGCAGCUACUUUUCAUGACUUAAAAUAAUGGUAAGCACUUUAGUCACUCAGUUGCCUUAGGUAACACUGUAUGACACUUGCAUAUUCUUUCACUAACCAUGGUUGUAACCAUAAGUAACCAAGGAAAAAUUAAUUGUUAUUCAAAUGUUGGCCUCUUUCUGUAUCUCUCAGUACUUUGAUUUUCCUGUGCAUCAGUAGAAAACAUCUGCUCCUAUUUGUGCCUGGAAAUGAUUUUGUAUGAUGUCUAAUCCUUUAUAUCAUCUGAAUUCUAUCUGCUGUGAAGUCAGGAACUAUGAAACAAAUAAAGAUGAUUAUAUGUGA